rnacentral:rRNA from 1 species
CCUACGGGUGGCUGCAGUGGGGAAUAUUGGACAAUGGGGGGAACCCUGAUCCAGCGACGCCGCGUGAGUGAAGAAGUAUUUCGGUAUGUAAAGCUCUAUCAGCAGGGAAGAAAGAAAUGACGGUACCUGACUAAGAAGCCCCGGCUAACUACGUGCCAGCAGCCGCGGUAAUACGUAGGGGGCAAGCGUUAUCCGGAUUUACUGGGUGUAAAGGGAGCGUAGACGGCAGUGCAAGUCUGGAGUGAAAGGCGGGGGCUCAACCCCCGGACUGCUCUGGAAACUGUACGGCUGGAGUGCAGGAGAGGUAAGUGGAAUGCCUGGUGUAGCGGUGAAAUGCGUAGAUAUUAGGAGGAACACCAGUGGCGAAGGCGGCUUACUGGACUGUAACUGACGUUGAGGCUCGAAAGCGUGGGGAGCAAACAGGAUUAGAUACCCUUGUAGUC